CACUCAGUUCAUUCCUUGAACGAACCCAAACUCACUCAGCAGGUCCGUGUUCAUAUUUCCUGCUGCAGCUUGAACGAAAAUUCAGAGAGACAGCAGCGGACGAAGCUUCGUUAACAGCGGUCUGUAAACCUAAAACAUAUCUCUCUUAUCAGCAACUGUUCUUACUGGCACGAUGGUGAACUGCUGUGGUCUGGUCACUGACAGGAAGGAACCAGUUCCUCUGAAGAGCAUUGAUGCUCAGCUGGAGGUGAAGGACCAUGUAGCUACUCUGGUCUCCACUCUGAACUAUGAGAACAAGGAGGACAAACCUCUAGAGGCUGUGUUUGUCUUCCCUCUGCCUGGAGAUGCUGCUGUGUGUCAUUUCAGUGCUCAGAUUGGA